GUUGGGAUGGCAGAGCUCGGUUAAUGCAAGAGACCUAAGCCCUCUAUACAGGGGUUCAAACCCCCUUCCCAACU
rnacentral:tRNA from 1 species